rnacentral:lncRNA from 1 species
GAUUGAAAAUCUUUUGUUAAGAAAGGACCGGUUCUGAGUGUAGCAUGCGGUUGCAACUGCAUCAGCCCAGAAGUAUAACGGAAGAGAAGCGAAACUGAGCAUGGUUCUGGCUGCCUCACAUAAAGAACGGUUUCGCCUUUCAACAAUCCCAUUCUGUUGUGGUGUAUAAGGGACCAAAAAGUUGUGAGUUAUCCCCUUAUUAGCCAGAAAUUCCUGAAAGUCUUUAUUCUUGAAUUCCGGCCCAUUGUCCCUCCUGAUAUUUCUCACCGUCUUUUUCAGCUGAACUUCCAAUUGCUUAAUAAAUGUCUUCAACUUGGAAGUUGCUUCUGAUUUCUGUUUAAGAAAGUAAACCCAGGUGAAGCGUGAAAAAUCAUCGAAAAUGACAAGUAUGUACUUACUACCACCGAUGCUUUCGAUAGCCGAAGGUCCAUAUAAGUCAAUGUGCAAUAGUUCAAGAGCUUCAACAAUCUUUGUGUUUUUUCUGGUAGGAUGGCUCUUUCUGCUUUGUUUGCCCAUCUCACACGCUGCACACAGAUGUUCCUUGUCAAACUUGAGAAGAGGGAGGCCUCGAACAUGGUCACCAAGCACCAACUUAUUAAUGUCUUUGAAGUUCAGAUGCGAUAAAUGUCGAUGCCACAACCAGCUUUCAUCUGUGUUUUCCUUUGAUAGCAGACAUAUUGUUGGUUUUCCUCUUAUUGGGUUGAGAUUUAAAGGAUACAUCUCUCCCUUGCGUUCAGACUUUAGCAGAACCUUUUUCGAACGCUUUUCAAUGAUUUCAGAACCUUCGUCAUCAAAUGAUACUUUCAGACCUAUUCCUACAACUAAUUGUGACACGCUGAUGAGGUUAUGUUGCAAACCUUCCACAUAUUCCACUUUUCAAAUCGAGAAAUCUCCAUUGGUUGUCAUACCGUAUACCUUGAUUGUUCCAUAGGAGUUAUUUCCAUACUUUACACACCCACCAUCUUUUAGGGACCAAAACUCCCUCAGCUCUUCCUUCCUUCCUGUCAUGUGACGUGAGUAGCUACUUUCUAUAUACCAUUCAUCAUCAAACUGCUCGUCAAAAAGCACCUGCAAAUUCAAGCUGAUUUAGGAACCCAAAGUUUCUUGGGUCUUGGUGAGUCUUUCACAGAAAAAGGAAUUACAGAGGAAAUAUCAACCAAAAAUGUUCUUUUUACUAAAGUGGUUUAAUCUUUUCGUUUAAUGGUAUACACCAUGAUUUUAGUUUUAUCUUGUUUAAAUAUUGGUGUGUUAUUUGUUGGUUUAGGAUUUUUAUUUUUGAAUCCUAGGGUUAGCUGUCUUUUUCUUAUCAUAGAAUUCAGAAUCUGAUGCUAGCUUUCCCUUUCCUUUGAUGUCCUUUGCAUAAUUUAUUUUUCACUUUGAAUAGGAAGAACCAAAACUAGUGUUGGGACCAAAACUCGACUUUCGGUUCUGAGAGCCGAUGCGGGGACCAAAACUUGACUUUUGGUUUGGUAUGCUAGUUUGGGAACCGAGAGCUGAUGUUCGGUUCCGACAUUUGGAGUAGUAGGAAUUUGGGCUGAAAGUUUCUUUUCCUUCUAGUUCUUCCUUUCCAUUAUCCGUUGACGCUUUCUUAGGAGGUACAUAGUUGGGUUUUUGAGAUUCCUAGUAAUGUUUUCGCUCAUUCAAGUUCUGUGCAUAUCUUUUAUUUCUUAAGCGUUUCAGUUCUGCUAACUCCUUCUGUGAUUUGUGGAUAUUGAAGCUAGCCUUUGGCUUCCGCUUUUGACUUUCGGUUGUAUUUGUUGGAACAUAUGGUUCUGUCAUCGGUUCUUCAGGGAUUUCUUUAGUUCCACUUGUGCUUGGUUUGUCGAAACUUGAGGUUUUGUUGAUGGGUUCAACAACAUAUCUUCCUUUAACCCUCCAUGAAGUUUUCUCAGACAAGCCUACGGUUUCAUCUGCGUUGUCAACAGUGUUAGAUUAGUGUCUAAGCCCGUAACCAUAUUUGGUAAGUACUUGACCCGGUUGUGCAUGGUCCUUUUGGGUUGCCUUCACCAAAGCAACUUGACUGGAGAAAUAAAUAGAGAAAGAGGUUAUUAUGAUUUAUUAAUAUAUUAUAAGAAUAUUAUAUUAAAGGAGAAAUCAUAUUUGUUUAAUUAAUAUUGGUCGAUAAUUAAUUAGGAAUUAAUUUUGUGAUCAAGUGUAAUUAAUUAAAAUAGAGGGGCUGAAUUAUAAUUAUGUGAUAGUUGCAAAAUAGGGCAAUGGUUACCCUAGAUAUAGGUUGGACGAAUUCAAGGGAUAAGGAUCCUUGAAAUCGUCCAAGGAUAUGGCUUUCAACGCUUAUCUUAUGGUUACUUGGUGGGCAAGCAACUAGAUAAGGAUAAGGACUGAAACCCAAAUCUCUACCCUAUAUAACGACUCCUAAGGCCAUAGAAAUCGUCCCAACUUGAUCCCUAGGGUUCUAGAGCCGAUUUCUACCUCUCCUCUUCUCUUUCUAUUGCCUCUCCAAUUGCUUGUGGUGUUUGUGAGCCAUUAGAGGUACUACACUUGUGGUACUUGCUUUCAAGACUUAGGGUUUGAAGAUUUGAGUUGUUAUUGCAAUAUAACAACAAGAGGUAUGUGAUCUAUCCUUCUACAUAAAUUUCGAAAAUACUAGAAGCAUGCUAGGGUUCUUCAUGUGUUCAUAAUGUUGUAUAUCUAAUAGAGGAAACAUAGAUCCAAAUCUAGGGUUGCAUGCAUACAUAGGAUUGUUUGUACAAAACCCAUCAGUGGUAUUAGAGCUUUUGGUUGAAUUGUUUUCAAUUAGUAUUAUACAAUUGUAUAAAUUUGACACUUUAGGGUUUAUGGCCAAUAAACCCUGGGAGGCUUGCAUUUCAAUUUUAGGGUUUCUUGAACCCUUGUGUUCGAAAUUUUGAAGGGUUUUCAAACCCUUUCCUUGUUGCCCAAGAUUUCGAGAUCUAGGGUUUGCAAACCCUAGAUUUUCGAGAUCUUGCCUCCCCCCAAGAUAAGUCCCUAAAAUCUAGGGAUUUCGAUAAUCCCAUAUCUUGUAAUUAUCUUUUAAUUGUUAAAUUUGGUAAUUAAGGAUUUUGAAUUAUCCCCUCCCUAUUUUCGAAAUUUAGUGGGAUUUAAGGGAUUAGGAUAAAUUUAAUUGUUUAAUUUAUAAUAAUCCUUUAUGAUUUAGUAAUUAGAAUUAAUUGUUUAAUUUGAAUAAUUAUUAAAUCAAGAGUUUUAAUAUUUAAAAUUUUAAUUUAAAAGUGAUAAAUUUUGAAAAUUUUAAAUUGAGAUUAAAACCCUAGUAUUUUUAAAAUGUUUAAAAUACACCCUCUACUAUUAUAUUAUUACAAGAUUAAUAUAUGUAUUACAAGAGUAAUACACCCUAUUAUUUUUAAAAUGUUUUANUAGUCUUACCAUUAGUAGGCCUCAUUCACGAACCCAAUCUAUAAAGGGGGUAUAAGGUUAUGGCCUAUAAAAUGGCCGUUUAAAGGGUAUCCACUCUUACCCACCGCUUCCUUGAUUGGUGGAGGGUAGUUAGCCGAACGAGUAGGAUUUGGCAAUCAUCUCUUUAUUAAUAAGUAUAAUGAAUCUAUGUAAAGUAACUAAACACUUUUACAAAUUCCCAAUCAUAGUUACUUUAGGCAAAAGUGAAAUUGAUGCAAUCCCAUGAAAUUGCACUUUGCACCCUUUCUAAGAAGUUAGUGGAGCGUGUGUGGUUAACCGGCACACUAAUUGGUUCUAAUCAAAGGUGGCAAAGGGUGACUCAUUGUUUAUCAUAGUUUGAUGGAGCGUGAAUGGUUUACCGGCACAUCGAAUAGGUGAUUGUAACAAUAAGGGAACCAUGCAGAUUUGCAUGGUUAUUCACACCUACUUUGUGAUCCUCGGCAUCCCAGUCACAAACGAGAGGGGCAUAUCAAGAUUUAAACAUGCCAUUGGAAAGUUCAAUGAAUCUUUAAGGAAAUCUAGGAAUUCUCAAUACAUUUAAAACUUAAGCGUUAUGUUUUUCAUGGUGAAGAAUUACUGAAUCGUCAUUCACUUACCUCCAAAUUAUUUGCAUGUUGAAUUACGGCAUCCCGUUUCUAAUAUAUAAAUAAUGUUGUUGGGUCCUAGCCCUAAUUUUCCAUUUUGGGUGUUUAGUUAGGGAUUUAAUUCUAAUCAAACCUUGUUCCUUUCUAUUUGUAGAUGUCUAACGUAAACAACGCUGCUGCUACCUCAUUCUCGCUAAUGAGCCUAUGUCAAAAGGUGACAUUUGAUGGAUCGAACUUUAGUGAAUGGAUAAUAUACAUUCGCACGAUUGCUCACUACGAGGACAAAGAGUAUGUCCUCGACGAGAAACUUGAAAAGAUCAAUCCGAAAAUCGCUACUCCCAGAGAAAUGGCUAUCUUUGAGACCCAUGAGCAUGAUGCAACGAAAGUCCAUUGCAUUAUGUUAGCCACAAUGAAUCACGAACUCCAAAAGUCCUAUGAGGACAUGUAUCCGUACGAAAUGCAUCAAGACUUGAUGGAGAGAUAUCACCAAAGCGCAAGGCAAGAGCACUAUGAGAUCAUCACAAACAUGAUCACCGCUAAGAUGGGAAGUGGAGAGUCUCUAACUGUGCACUUGCAAAAGAUGCAAAGAUAUGUUGAUCGUCUUUGCAAGUUAAAUGUUAACUUUGGGGAAGAUUUGGCAAUCGACAUCGUUCUUCACUCCUUGCCCUCGUGCUACAACCAAUUUAGGAUGACCUACCACAUGAACAAAGAAGAGGUCACCCUAAGUAAACUCAAAGGGCUCUUAAGGACUGCUGAGAGCAACCUCAAGGACAAGUCUGUUACAUUAGCUCCCACUCCACCCGCUGCUUCUAUUUUGGCUAUUGGGCAAGGGAGGGGCAAGAAGAGGAAGGCUUCUUCAAAGAGCCACCACAAGGGAAAGCCCCAAGAUGGUUCCUCCUCUAGUGGGGCCAAAGUUGGUCCUGCCAAGCCCAACUCAAACCCAAAGGAGGCAAAGUGCCAUCACUGCCACAAAAUAGGGCAUUGGAAGAGAAGUUGCCCGGAAUAUCUGCAAGCCAUCAAGGAUGGGAAGAUCAAGCCAUCUUUCGCAGGUAUUUACACAAUUAAAUCUAAUGAUUCAUCUCAUUCUAUUUCUUGGGUUCUUGAUACAGGAUGUGAUUAUCACAUAUGUUCUUAUUCGUAGGGACUAAGAAGAAAUAGAGAUAUGGAGUGUGGAAGAAUAAAUCUAAUCAUGGGGAACAAAAGAUCGUCGCCUGUCACCAAGAUUGGAGUGUAUUCUCUAGUUCUUAGUAAUGGAUUAGAUUUAGAUUUAAAUAAUUGUUGCUACUCGCCAGAUAUGGCAAGAAACAUCAUUUCAUUUCAUGGUUUGUUUAUACAAGGAUUUAGAUAUUCGUUUAAUAAUGAGAAUGGCUUGAUUUAUGCUUAUCUAAAUGGUGUUUUAUAUUUAGAAGCAAUGCCUUGUAAUGGAAUUUAUGAAACUGUUAUGGUUGUAGAUAACCUAGGAAAUGAUAUGUUGUGUAUGGAUUCUUCCAAUAGUAUGGAAAAAGCAUGCUUGUGGCAUUGUCAUCUUGGACAUGUCAACAAGAAGCGCAUAGCCUAACUCCAAAAGGAUGGAGUGUUGGAGUCAUUCGACCUUAGGGAAGAUGACACAUGCGAGUCUUGUUUACUUGGAAAGAUGACCAAGUCUCCCUUCAUUGGCACGUGUGAGAGGGGUGAGGAUUUCUUGGAUCUCAUACACACUGACGUGUGUGGGCCCUUUAGAUCCACCACAAAGGAUGCGAACCGCUUCUAUGUGACUUUCACCGAUGAUUAUAGUAGAUAUAGAUAUAUUUACUUAAUCAAGCACAAGUCAGAAACAUUUAAAAAGUUCAAAGAGUUUAAACAUGAAGUGGAGAAUCAAUUGGGCAGGAAAAGCAAGAUGCUUCGAUCUGAUCGAGGAGAAGAGUACUUAAGUCUUGAAUUCCACGACUAUCUCAAGGAAUGCCACCUAGGACACCACAGUUGAAUGGUGUGGCAAAAAGGUGUAAUCGAACCCUGUUAGACAUGGUUCGUUCUAUGAUGAGUCGUGCUUCACUACCUAUCUCAUUUUAGGGGUAUGCCUUAGUGACUACCGUUCAUAUCCUUAACCGAGUCCCUACAAAGAAGGUUGCCAAAACACCUCACGAGAUGUGGACCUCAUUGGCACAUAUCAAGGUUUGGGGCUGUGAGGUUUUCGUAAGACUAGAAACUCACGACAUGCUCGAACCUCGUAGUGAGCGAUGUAUUUUCAUCGGCUACCCGCAGAAAUCAUUUGGAUAUCUCUUCUAUAGACCGAGUGACAAUGUUGUCUUUGUUGCGAGGAGAGCGGUUUUCCGAGAGUGAGAACUCAUAAACCAAGGAGAUAGUGGGGGGCAAAUCGAUCUUAAUGAGAUUCAAGAGUCGAGUGAUGAAGGAACCUCUAUCACUGGCACCCAACCCGAGGAGGAAACUCCGGUUGAACCAAUUGACGAGUCCUUACCUCUUAGACGUUCCGAAAGAGUUAGAGUUUAACCCCAGUUUCAUGGUUUUCAUAUUACUACCGAAGGGGACACGUAUAUUAGUGAUGGUACACUAAUAAAUCUAGAUGAACCUAAUAGCUAUAAGGAAGCCAUGGCAGGCCCAGAGUCUUGUAAAAUCGAAAGAGGCGAUGGACAGCGAGAUUCAGUCCAUGUAUGACAACCAAGUUUGGAAUUUGGUUGACAAUGUGCCCAGACGUAAGACGGUUGGGUGCAAAUGCAUCUUCAAGAAGAAGAUCAACGUGGAUGGGAAUGUGCACACGUAUAAGGCGCGAUUGGUUGCGAAGGGCUUUACUCAAACUCCCGGAGUUGACUAUGAUGAGACCUUCUCGCUAGUUGCUAAAAUAAAGUCUAUUAGGGUGAUGCUAGCCAUUGCUACAUUUCAUGAUUAUGAAAUAUGGCAGAUGGAUGUCAAGACUGAUUUCCUUAACGGGAAAUUGGCUGAGGAUGUUUACAUGGCUCAGCCAGAGGGUUUUGUCGAUACGAAGCAUCCCAAUGGAGUGUGCAAGCUUGAGAAGUCCAUUUAUGGACUUAAGUAAGCAUCUCGCAGAUGCAAUCUUUGCUUCGAUGAGAAAGUGAAAGAGUUUGGAUUUGUACGAAGUGAAGAUGAAUCAUGUGUAUAUGUCAAAGCCAGUGGGAUUAUAGUUAGCUUCCUCGUAUUGUAUGUCGAUGACAUACUACUCAUAGGAAACGACAUCCCGAAUCUGCAGGAGGUUAAGUCCUGGCUCGGGAAGUGCUUCGCUAUGAAGGACCUCAGAGAGGCUUCCUAUAUUUUGGGAAUAAGGAUAGUGAGNAAAGUGCUUCGCUAUGAAGGACCUCGGAGAGGCUUCCUAUAUUUUGGGAAUAAGGAUAGUGAGAGAAAGAAGUAAGAGACUAAUAGGACUUAGUCAGAAUACUUACUUGGAUAAGGUACUAAAACGUUUUAGUAUGGAAAACUCGAAAAAAGGAGAACUACUGAUACAGAGUAAUGCCAAGUUGAGUAAGACUCAAAGUCCAAGUACCGAAGCCGAGAUAGCAGAUAUGAGCCGAGUACCUUACGCUUCCGCAGUUGGCUCAAUCAUGUAUGCUAUGACUUGUACUCGCCCUGAUGUGGCCUUUGCUUUGAGCAUGGUCAGUAGGUAUCAAGGGAACCCUGGCAUAGCACAUUGGACCGCAGUCAAGAAUAUCCUUAAGUACCUUCGGAGGACCAAGGAAUAGUUUUUGGUUCUCGGAGGGAGUGAUGACUUAAAGGUGCGAGGGUAUAGCGACGACAACUUUCAGACCGACAGGGACAACUAGCGUUCGCAGUCGGGCUGGGUCUUUAUACUCAAUAGGGGAGCAGUGACUUGGAAAAGUUCCAAACAAGAAACUGUAGCUGAUUCAACAUGCGAAUCAGAGUACAUUGCAGCGAGUGAAGCAUCUAAAGAGGCGAUAUCGUUAAAGAACUUCAUUGGAGACCUUGGAGUUGUACCUGCCCUAAAGGAGCCUAUGGAGAUUUUCUGUGAUAAUGAAGGAGCGGUUGCCUUGACCAAGGAACCGAGGGAUCAUGGUAGAUCUCAGCAUAUCGACAUAAAAUAUCACUUUAUUAGACAUCAAGUAGAAGAAGGACACCUCGUGGUUAAGAGGAUAUCGUCAGAGGAUAACCCAGCAAAUCCGCUUACAAAGGGACUGAAUAGGGUUAAACACUUGCAGCACGCUAGGAGUAUUGGGCUGAAGUAUGAUAUUUGUUUGGAUUAGAUAGUUUGGAAACUUGUAAUAGAUAAAUGUAAUUAACAUUUGAUGAUUAAAUAAAGGAGUAUUAUUUAAAAGUUUCUGUCUUAUGUUAAUUGUUUAACUAUUGUUUCACUUUGCAUGUUUUGACUUCCAGAAUAAUUGAGUUUAUUAAGAAUAAUCGAAUUAUUCAAACGGUCCACGGUCGUUCAUAUGUUGGGAGUAGGUAUGAGUGAAGACUGUCAUGAAUUGUUGUGUAGAUUGUCUGAAAAGUAUUAGACAUAACAAAAGGUUGUUACAACAUUCAUGAGUGCUUAUGAAAGAGUUUUGAGCAUUGGAAUAAACACGCGCUUGCUAGAAUCACUUCAUGGAAUGUCCUGCAAGUGAUCGCAAGACGUUAAUAUGAUAUGGUCUUAAAACCAAGAUAUAUGGUUUAUUGUUUGCUAAUUGGUUGUGCAUUGAUAAUGCGAAACCGCAUCAGUAAAUUGAUGUCAUAAAAUGCAUUAUUGUGUAUAGUUGAUUAGUGAAUAGUAAAUGCAUCAGUAAGUUGAUGCCAUCUUUCGCAGGUAUUUACACAAUUAAAUCUAAUAAUUCAUCGCAUGCUAUUUCUUGGGUUCUUGAUACAGGAUGUGGUUAUCACAUAUGUUCUGAUUUGCAGGGACUAAGAACAAGUAGGGAUGUGGAGCGUGGAAGAAUAAAUCUAAUCAUGGGGAACAGAAGAUCGUCGCCUGUCACCAAGAUUGGAGUGUAUUCUCUAGUGCUUAGUAAUGGAUUAGGUUUAGAUUUAAAUAAUUGUUGCUACUCGCCAGAUAUGGAAAGAAACAUCAUUUCAUUUCAUGGUUUUUUUAAACAAGGAUUUAGAUAUUCGUUUAAUAAUGAGAAUGGUUCGAUUUAUGCUUAUCUAAAUGGUGUUUUAUAUUUGGAAGCAUUGCCUUGUAAUGGAAUUUAUGAAACUGUCAUGGUUGUAGAUAAACUAGGAAAUGAUAUAUUGUGUAUGGAUUCUUCCAAUAGUAUAGAUAAAGCAUGCUUGUGGCGUUGUCAUCUUGGACAUGUCAACAAGAAGCGCAUAGCCCAGCUCCAAAAGGAUGGAGUGUUGGAGUCAUUCGACCUUAGGGAAGAUGACACGUGCGAGUCUUGUUUGCUUGGAAAGAUAACCAAGUCACCCUUCACUAGCACUUGUGAGAGGGGUGAGGGUUUAUUGCAUCUCAUACACACUAACGUGUGUGGGCCCUUUAGAUCCACCACAAAGGAUGCGAACCGCUUCUAUAUGACUUUCACCGAUGAUUAUAGUAGAUAUGGGUAUGUUUACUUAAUCAAGCACAAGUCAGAAAUGUUUGAAAAGUUCAAAGAAUUCAAACAUGAAGUGGAGAAUCAAUUGGGUAGGAAAAUCAAGAUGCUUCGAUCCGAUUGAGGAGGAGAGUACCUAAGACUUGAAUUCCACGACUAUCUCAAAGAAUGUGGAAUAGUUUCACAAUUGACGCCACCUAGGACACCACAACUUAAUGGUAUGGCAGAAAGGCAUAAUCGAACCCUGUUGGACAUGGUUCAUUCCAUGAUGAUUCGUGCUUCACUACCUAUCUCAUUUUGGGGUAUGCCUUAGUGACUACCGUUCAUAUCCUUAACCGAGUCCCUACAAAGAAGGUUGCCAAAACACCUCACGAGAUGUGGACAGGGAAAGCUCCCUCGUUGGCACAUAUCAAGGUUUGGGGCCGUGAGGUUUUCGUAAGACGAGAAACUCACAACAAGCUCGAACCUCGUAGUGAGCGAUGUAUUUUCAUCGGCUACCCGCAGAAAUCCUUUGGAUAUCUCUUCUAUAGACCGAGUGACAAUGUUGUCUUCGUUGCGAGGAGAGGGGUUUUCCGAGAGUAAGAACUCACAAACCAAGGAGAUAGUGGGAGGCAAAUCGAUCUUAAUGAGAUUCAAGAGUCGAGUGAUGAAGGAACCUCUGUCACUGGCACCCAACUCGAGGAGGAAACUCCGGUUGAACCAAUUGACGAGUCCUUACCUCUUAGGCGUUCCGAAAGAGUUAGAGUUCAACCCCAGUUUUAUGGUUUUCAUAUUACUACCGAAGGGGACACGUAUAUUAGUGAUGGUACACUAAUAAAUCUUGAUGAACCUAAUAGCUAUAAGGAAGCCAUGGCAGGCCCGGAGUCUGCAAAAUGGAAAGAGGCAAUGGAUAGCGAGAUCCAAUCCAUGUAUGAUAACCAAGUUUGGAAUUUGGUUGAUUAUGUGCCCGGACGUAAGACCGUUGGGUGCAAAUGGAUCUUCAAGAAGAAGAUCAACGUGGAUGGGAAUGUGCACACGUAUAAGGCACGAUUGGUUGCGAAGGGCUUUACUCAAACUCCCGGAGUUGACUAUGAAGAGACCUUCUCGCCAGUUGCUAAAAUAAAGUCUAUUAGGGUGAUGCUAGCCAUUGCUACAUUUCAUGAUUAUGAAAUAUGGCAGAUGGAUGUCAAGAAUGAUUUCCUUAAUGGGAAAUUAGUUGAGGAUGUUUACAUGGCUCAGCCAGAGGGUUUUGUCGAUACGAAACAUCCCAAUGGAGUGUGCAAGCUUGAGAAGUCCAUUUAUGGACUUAAGUAAGCAUCUUGCAGAUGGAAUCUUUUCUUCGAUGAGAAAGUGAAAGAGUUUGGAUUUGUACGAAGUGAAGAUGAAUCAUGUGUAUAUGUCAAAGUCAGUGGGAUUAUAGUUAGCUUCCUCGUAUUGUAUGUCGAUGACAUACUACUCAUAGGAAACGACACCCCGAAUCUGCAAGAGGUUAAGUCCUGGCUCGGGAGGUGCUUCGCUAUGAAGGACCUCGGAGAGGCUUCUUACAUUUUGGGAAUAAGGAUAGUAAGAGAAAGAAGUAAGAGACUAAUUGGACUUAGUCAGAAUACUUACUUAGAGAAGGUACUAAAACGUUUUAGUAUGGAAAACUCAAAGAAGGGAGAACUACCGAUACAAAGUAAUGCCAAAUUGAGUAAGACUCAAAGUCCGAGUACCGAAGCCGAGAUAGCAGAGAUGAGCCGAGUACCUUACGCUUCCGGAGUUGGCUCAAUCAUGUAUGUUAUGACUUGUACUCGUCCUGAUGUGGCCUUUUCUUUGAGCAUGGUCAGUAAAUAUCAAGGGAACCCUGGCAAAGCACAUUGGACCGCUGUCAAGAAUAUCCUUAAGUACCUUUGGAGGACCAAGGGAUGGUUUCUGGUUCUCGGAGGGAGUGAUGACUUGAAGGUGUGAGGGUAUAGUGACGCUAGCUUCUAGACCGACAGGGACAACUAUCGUUCGCAGUCAGGCUGGGUCUUUACCCUUAAUGGAGGAGCAGUGACUUGGAAAAGUUCCAAGCAAGAAACCGUAGCUGAUUCAACGUGCGAAUCAGAGUACAUUUCAGCGAGUGAAGCAUCAAAGGAGGCAAUAUGGUUGAAGAACUUCAUUGGAGACCUUGGAGUUGUACCAGCCAUAAAGGAGCCUACGGAAAUUUUCUGUGAUAAUGAAGGAGCGGUUGCCUUGACCAAGGAACCGAGAGAUCAUGGCAGAUCUCGAUAUAUCGACAUAAAAUAUCACUUUAUUAGACAUCGAGUAGAAGAAGGGAACCUCGUAGUUAAGAGGAUAUCAUCAGAGGAUAACCCAGCAGAUCCACUUACGAAGGGACUGUGUAGUGUUAAGCACUUGCAGCACGGUAGGAGCAUUGGGCUGAAGGACGAUAUUAGUUUAGAUUAGAUAGUUUGGAAACUUAUAGUAGAUAAAUGUAAUUGACAUUUGAUGAUUAAAUAAAGGAAUAUUAUUUAAUGGUGUCUGUCUUAUGUUAAUUGGUUAACUAUUGUUUCACUUUGCAUGUUUUGACUUCCAGAAUGAUUAAGUUUAUUAAGAAUAAUCGAAUCAUUCAUACGGUCCACAGUCGUUCAUAUGUUGGAAGUAGGUAUGAAUGAAGACUGUCAUGAAUUGGUGUGUAGAUUUUCUGAAUGAUAUUAGACAUAACAAACGUUUGUUACAACAUUCAUGAGUGCUUAUAAAUAAGUUUUGAGAAUUGGAAUAAACCCGCACUUGUGGGAAUCACUUCAUGAAAUCAAUCACAAGUGAUCGCAAGAUGAUAAUAUCAUAUGGUCUUAAAACCAAGAUAUAUGGUUUAUUGUUUACUGAUUAAUUAUACACUGAUAAUGCGAAACCGCAUCAGUAAAUUGAUGUUAUAAAACGCAUUGUUAUGUAUAAUUGAUUAGUGAAUAGUAAAUACAUAUAAGUCGAAGUUUAUCUGUUACUUUUAUCCUAAGAGGGUAAGAGCGAUAUCAGGGCCCCUCGAUGAUUUUGAUUUGACUUAUGUACCGGGCCCCGUCAGGACUAAAUUGAUGUGUUCAAUUAAGUUCUAUGUCAAAUGAAUCUGAGAUCGAGAAACUGAUUGUUGGAAUAAUAAAUAUGAAAAAUGUUUCAUGAGAUUGUUCGCACGAUAUCUAAACAGAGGACUAUACGAUCCCUUAUCUAAAGGACAGGUUACUGAUAAGAUCAGAGUUUGACAGCGUCUUUGAGAGCUACGAUUGCUAAUCAAGUUGUACUUGAAUUUGUGGUUACUAGACUUAUCCAAGUGGGAGACUGUUGGAUUAGUGUCUAAGUCCGUAACCAUAUUUGGUAAGUACUUGACCCGGUUGUGCAUGGUCCUUUUGGGUUGCCUUCACCAAAGCAACUUGACUGGAGAAAUAAAUAGAGAAAGAGGUUAUUAUGAUUUAUUAAUAUAUUAUAAGAAUAAUAUAUUAAAGGAGAAAUCAUAUUUGUUUAAUUAAUAUUGGUCAAUAAUUAAUUAGGAAUUAGUUUUGUGAUCAAGUGUAAUUAAUUAAACUAGAGGGGCUGAAUUGUAAUUAUGUGAUAGUUGCAAAAUAGGGCAACGGUUACCCUAGAUAUAGGUUGGACGAAUUCAAGGGAUAAGGAUCCUUGAAAUCGUCCAAGGAUAGGGCUUUCAAGGCUUAUCUUAUGGUUACUUGGUGGGCAAGCAACUAGAUAAGGAUAAGGACUAAAACCCAAAUCUCUACCCUAUAUAAGGACUCCUAAGGCCAUAGAAAUCGUCCCCACUUGAUCCCUAGGGUUCUAUAGCUGAUUUCUACCUCUCCUCUUCUCUCUCUAUUGCCUCUCCAAUUGCUUGUGGUGUUUGUGAGCCAUUAGAGGUACUACACUUGUGGUACUUGCUUUCAAGACAUAGGGUUUGAAGAUUUGAGUUGUUAUUGCAAUAUAACAACAAGAGGUAUGUGAUCUAUCCUUCUACAUGAAUUUCAAAAAUACUAGAAGCAUGCUAGGGUUCUUCAUGUGUUCAUAAUGUUGUAUAUAUAAUAGAGAAAACAUAGAUCCAAAUCUAGGGUUGCAUGCACACAUAGGAUUGUUUGUACAAAACCCAUCAAAUAGGGGCAGACCAGAAGUAAUCGUCACACCCUUCAGCAUUGUCUAUUUCUACCAAGACUCUUAAUUCUGUCGUUUGUCUUAUAGUGACCCCUAUAACUGCAUAGACCUGAUUUGGCACAGUCUGAACCUUUUGAUAAACCACAACUUUUUCCUUGAGUUUUGGUUACUUGUCAUUUUCCAUGCGAGCAAAUUCAACCGAGUUUUCUGAAAUGAGGGGUUUCUCAUUCUCGGUUUCGUUCUUCAUAAACAUAGAGCAAUCAACAACAUCUUCUACCGAGAUUUCACUUAUCUCACUUUCCUCAUCAAAUUCAGACGUAUUAUCUAAGUUCAUUUUAUUUUCUGAAGUUAAUUUAGCAUUGGACAGGUCAAAUGACUGAAUAGUGUCUGACUUUAUUUUCAACCUAUCAUUUUCAUCUAAAAUAUCUUUUAGCAUGCAUUUGUGUUCCUUAAAAUCAAUGAAGGUUUUUAUUUUGUCCAGUCCAAUUUUGUAAGACACGGAUGUAUCUUUUAAUGACACUACUGAUUCACAUUCUGCUAUGAUCUCGUCCUCCUUAAAUUCAAGGAAGGGUAAAAUCAUCUUAUGAAUUUUCUUUCCUAUCUCACAGCUUAAAUGUAAUUGAGCAAUAUUAGUGUAUAAAUGCUUAGCAAUUAAACAAAAAACAUUCCUUUGUUUUAAAAACUUCAAAUUGUCUCUUUGCAAAUAAAUAUUUUCAUCCCUAGCCCUAAUUAACUCUGCCUCCUUCAUCUCCAUCCACAUCCUUCUCUCCUCACUCCUUGAAGACACCCUGCUGAGUUGGUCAGUUAGGUUAGAAUCCGCUAAGCGAGUUUACAUGAGACUACCACUUAAGUUAGAAAAUUUAAAUUUUAACUCAUUUAAUUCUUCUUCAUAGUCUGUUAAUGGAACUUUAAGUGAUUCAAUGAUCGAUUGUACCUUUUUGAUCAAUCGAUCACAGUCAUUGAUCUUCUCACUGACAGGUUUAGCCGCAAAACACUUAUUCUCAGUUAGGUUCAGUUCCUCGUCUACACUUUCGGUUGAUAAUCCAGCGGUGACAAUUAAGCACUUUCCAGCCGAACCUAAUUCCUUUACCACAUAAGCCUUUCCAUGAGUGGGUUUUCUCACUUCUUCAUCUUCGGAGUCGGUUGACCAAACUUACGCCACCGAACUCAUCUUCAUCUGCAUUCUCUUGCACAAUCAAGGCAUUCAUAGAACUGUUAAAACUGUUUGUUGCCUUUUUUUCUUGAUUUCUUCCAGCUUGCGCAUAUAAUACGCCUUGUCAUCUUCACCAUCUCUUUUCUUAGCCAUUUUUCUCAGCAUGCAAUCUUUGGCGAAAUGGUUCUUUCCGUGACAGUAAUUGUAAUCGAACCCAGAGUCUCCUGCAAGCUUGCUCUCCUUCCUGUCUUCAUCCUUUUGAGAAGAAAUUUUCGCUUCAUCCUUUACCUUCUCUGAACUAUAACUUCCUUGCCAGUUUCGCUUUUUGUUGACAGGAAAUUUUCUUCACGCAAACUUCUUUGGAUUAGUGACCAUCAUAGCGUACUCUUCACUUGUGAGAUCACAUUCUGACCUAUCAGACUCUUCUUCUUCUUCUGCAAUGCUUUUUCCUUUUGAGAUAAGGGCCAGCGAUCCCAUACCACAUACUACCUUUGCUUCUUUGGUUACAACACUCUCAUGGGACUUAAGUAUUCCCACAAGUUUCGCUAGUGAGUAAGAUUUAAACUGUUCGUGGGCUUUCACGGUUGAAACUAUGGCCAUCCAUUCCGGUCUCAGUCCAUUCAUAAAGGUUACCUUUUGCUCGAUCAACUUUCUUUCAAUUCCAUGUUUGAUCAUAUUACUUAGGAGAUGAUUGAACCGAUCGAAAGUUUGUAUGAGUUUCACCUCCGGUUUCUGUUCAAAAGCUCCAAAUUCUGACAGCAGCAAGGUUUGAAUGGAGUGUUCUAGAUCUUCAUCAGUCGAAUAAAGUUCCUUCAACCUAUCCUAGUUUUCUUUGGCAGUCGUGCAUGAACCGACCAACCGAAAAGUAUCAGAUUGUAAGGCAAAUCUGAUCAUUCUCAAAGCCUUCACAUUACACAGUAGCUUGUCUUUCUCGUCCCGUGGCAUCUUAUUUUCAUCCGCCACCAGCUUGUUGUAUUCCUUUUGAGUCUUAACAGUUGUGUUUGUUCCUGAGUGAACAAACGGCCCAAGUGUGAUAGCCUCCCAGAUGAGAUAGCCAUUAUCUUCCGAUNGGCCCAAGUGUAGCCUCCCAGAUGAGAUAGCCAUUAUCUUCCGAUCCAACCACGUAGUCUUCUAAGUCAUGUGCCCAAACUUCAUAGUCUUGAGUGUAAAGAAUGGGUAUUCUUGUUGUAGAUCCAAUGUUGUUUGAGAUGUUGAUGGAAUUUGUUUACGAAUCUUCGUGAACAAUGGUGAGCUCCUAGAAUCAAACCUGUAAACUUGAGAUUAGGGUUUUAUCUAAAACAGAGUUGUCGUUAAUAUGAAGCAGACGACUUCUAUUUAUACGAUAAAAGCGGAAACCCUAAAAGAAUUCUGAAUACAGAAGGAAUGUGUAUUGAUUACACAGUCUCCUGCUCUGAUACCAAUUGUUAGAACUUAGUUCAAUCAGGAUCGUUAGAUUCUAUGCAUGCAAACAAUUAAGAAAACAAAUAUAAACACGAAUAUGGCUUUGAAUAUGUCGUAUGAUUAAUACUUCAACGCCUUAGAAGAGCUCGACUAAGAACUUCGACAGUAGAGGUGUUUAGGGUUACAGAGAAUGAACGUAAUAAAAGUCGUAAACUAGAUAAUCACUGAUGGACAGGCCCAAUCCGGAUACAAAACAAAAAGCCCAUGACGCAACACAAUUAAGCUCUACAAUUUUAUUUCAUCACACACCAACUAUUUCAUUUACCCAUGUUCCAUCUGCAACAUAUUUGUAGAUAUAAAAUAAAUAUACCAUUUAAAUGUUUUAAAACAUGUAUAAAAUCGUUCAUCCAGCAUAGACAGCAAGUAUUCAAAUAAUAUGCACACAUAGCACGUAAUUUAUAUAAAAUAUUUCAUAUCUAUGUGUAAGAUGAAAGUAACUAUGCACUCACAUGAAAAGGUGGUGAUUCCGAACUCAGACAGCGCUUCGUUUCUUAAAAAUAAUUUCCUUCGACGAAACCUAGUAUUAUUACCACUAGAGUUUAGUCUAUUAUUCGUCGAGACUAAUUAAUAGUCUAGCUAUUAUUACUAUUAUAUAAGCGUUAAACAAUACUUAUAUAACCCAUAAUAAUAGCCCAAGUACUUAUUAUAAGUUCCUAAUAACCUUGCUAUAAUUAAAUAAAAGUUAUAUUAAAAAUAGCAUAAGCGUAGCUCACUUACAGCGGGUUUUAUAGAAAAUCGGGCUUUCCUUGAAGCAGCAUUCCCGAGCCGAAAAGCUCUUCUUCUCGAAGCCGUCUAGCACUCCGGGGCUUCCGCCUCGUGCUAGGGAGGUUCCCUGAGCUUUUCGGGGGGUUUCGAGGCUAGAGAGAGGUUCUAGAGAGAGAGAGAGAGAGAGAGAGAGAGGGGAAAGAGAAACNAGAGUAAAGAGAAGAAAAAAUGGGAAAUGUGUGAAGAAAAUGAGGGUAAUAGAGGUUCUAUUUAUAGGGUGAAAUAUGGCUGAACUUGGUGCCACAUGUCACCAUCUGGUGGCAAGACUUGGGGAGAAAGCAAUGGCCAAGAUUGUGCCACGUCACCCAUUUUCGCACAACACACUUUCAACUUCUAAAAUCCGUAACUUUCACAUACAAGAUCCGUUUUUGACGUUAUUUAUAUUCAUGCGUAGGUAAACAUAAGAUCUACAACUUUCAUUUUGACUCCGUCGGCUAAUUCUCGACCGAUCUUAUAUUUAACAGUACGAAAAGAUUAGACUGUUAAAUGACCGCGAAAAAUUCGUAACUCCUUCAUACAGACUCUAUUUUCGUCUGUCUUUUUACUAUUGAGUUCCUAUUAAUGAUAUCUUCAACUCUCAUUUAGGUCGCGUAAGCCAAAAACCGCUCGAACUAAAAUUCGAGUUUCGGGUCGUGCACUGCUAAGCUAAAUCUUAGAAAAAUCAUAACUUUCUCAUACGAACUCAGAUUUGGGAAUUGUUUUUAUGGACGCUCUCAGGUUAACAUAUUCUAUGACUUUCAUUUAGAUCACUAAGCCUAAAAGUCGCUCUAUCAUAAAUUCACUAUUUACGUCUCCCUAGUGUCGUGUCGGUUCUGUUGCGAAAUUUCGACAGGUCAUAACUUCUUCGUUAUAACUUGGAUUUUGGCGCUCUUUAUAUGUACGGAACCCUUGAUACAUAUUCUACAACUUGGUUAAGAUUAUUUAUUCUAAAUAAUCUUUUGUCAAAAAUUUGUUUUCGACCCCUAUUAUCUCUAAAUUGACUAGUCCGGAUCUUACGGGCGUUACAUUUUCUUAUGCCAACAUACCUUCUUUCUCCCCCUUGCACCUCUAUAACAAGAGGUGGGGCACCCAUUGGCAUUACUGGGAGAAGUUUCGCAACUGGAGCUAAUUCUUUAUGAAGUAUGGAGUCGAGCAAGGUAAUCUUUUGAUUGAAGAACUCAGGAGUAAAAAUUGAAGAAGUCGAAGAUCCAGACUUUGAAAAAAGUUCCUUUAACUCAGCCAGUAACUUUUCCAUAUCACCAAAACUGGUAGCAUCAAGUUCCACCUUUUUGUCAAACUUGGGAACUAACGAAUUAUACCAUUCAAUAGCUUUUGUUACUGCAUCAACAAUUAUAUCUACCUUCGUAUGAAGGGUAGAAUGAUUUUGAUUGAGAACUGAAAGUUCUUUUGCCAUAUCAUCCCUUAACUCCUAUAUUUUGAAGUUGACAUUCUCUUGAACCGUCUUGACAUCUUGCUCAUGGAGAACAUGCUUGGCUUUUUCAAUGUCUUUCAAAUCUCUAAGGGUGCCAUUAAAUGUAUUAGAUUGAGCUUUGACCCUUAGCUCAUUACUUUGAUUAAGUAGAUCAAGUUUAUCCUGAAUUCGACGUUCUUGAACUUUUAACAUGACCUCCAUCUCAAUACCCGACACUGAAUUUUUUCCACCACCAUCAGCUUGUAAUUGGAUCAAUGAGUUAAUUUUCUGAUUAAGAAUCUUAAAUUUCUUUCCAUACAUCGUCAUAUGAUCUGGAAUAUCCUCCUCAAUAGGAUCAAACUCAAUAUUUGCAAAAGAAUUCACAAACCCGCCAUCUUUUUCAACUUCUUUAGCAUACCAGAUUGCGAAGGUAUUACUUCCUUAUCAGACUUUGAGAAUGUUUUAUGAGCAACAACUGGAGGUGGCUCAGUAUGCACCUUCUUAUUCUUAGCAGCCUUAACAACCUUCUCAACUUGAUCAGGUUGUUGUAUGUAUGAAGGUUCCUUCACAACUUUCAUAGAUCCCUUCUUCUUCUUAAAUGAACUAGUGGUUGUAGUGAACAACACACCAGUUUCGAUGUCUGGAUUAAUGGUCUUCAAAUAGCUUACCAACACAAGAUGAGAUGGAUCCACCUUGCAAAGCAUGAGAUUUGGAAUUCUACCAACUGAGGGAAAAACAUUUGUAUCAUCUGCAACAGUUUUUGGAUGAUGAAACACAGAGAAUAUAGCAGUUUCUUCGUUGUCCGAAACCAAUAUCCCUUCCUUCUCAUACACAAACUGUAGAAUGAGGCUCUAGUAGCGAGCACGUGAAAUGCCAUCAACAAUAUUCGUGUUCCCUAUACUUUUUACCUACUCAUUCCAUAGUUGAGUUGUAUAAUCCACUAGCAACUCAUAGUCUAACCCUACGACCAGUGUAUAAACUUCCAAACGGCCUUUAUCCAACUCAACUGUUUCUCCAGUUAAACAUUGAAGAUAGAUCCUAUAGAAAAAAUUCCACAUAAAAGGUAAACAUGAUUUCUUGAACUCGUUGAUUUUAGUGAGAAUAGGUUGAUAACUUGUCUCAUUGAAUAUAUGGAUAAUUUGUUCAUUGGUUACCUUGUAGAAGGGUUCAACGUUAGAAAGACCGAGAAUCUAAGCAAAAGUCUUCUUGGAUAAUUAAAAUUUCUUGUCAUUCACCAGUUGAAAAGUAAUUGUGUUCAUCGUCUUGCUAAAUGUAGUCGUCGAACAAGCAAGAGAUAGCCAUGCAACAGGUAUAAAGAAAGAACUAAACAUCACCUUUGAUAAUGCAGAAUGUUGAAGAGCAACGAUAAGCAUCUUUAGUUCCUCGGGAUAAACAAAGACAUUAUCAUGAACUUGGAAAUUGGUGCUUUUAAUCUUCAUCAUCGGUUGCAAUGUGAUAUCUUUUGUAGUUUGUGAUGGAUCAACUUGAACAUUUGUAGCAGCCAUGGUUAGGGCUUGAAAAUUUGGUGAAGACAGAAAGUUCUUGUAAUUUGGGGAUUUUCAGUAUGCGUAAAAUUAGAAUGAACCCGAAAACCCCUUUUUAUAUGUAACUGGAAUUUUUGAAUUUGAAGCGGUUUCUGGCAUUAAAUGAGGCUGACGUGGUUCCCUGAAAAACGUAACAAUCGCUAGAAAAGUAGUCAUGUGUGAAAAGUGAUGUGCACUUUUUCCUUGAAAACAGGAGAAGAACUCAAAACGUCACAUCAGUCAAUCGUUUUGCUUGUCCCCAUUGAAUGAGAAUCGUCAGUAACCUUCACUACGGAGGUUGGGCUCUUUCACUUUUGAGUUUUAAAACAAAAUCAUGUGCCAGACUUUCGAAAUCAUCAACCUAAGUUAGUAUUACUCAGAACCUCAAGGAUUUCGUGAGUGCAAAGUGUUCCAAAUAAAAAGAUAAGAAUCAAGUUAAAAAAAAUUUGGAUACUGUGAUGUCAAAAUAUAUUUCGAUGCAAAAGCAGUUUGAUCCCGUUCGUUAUGCAUCAAGAGAGAUGACUAACAGCUUGUGUGGUUUCCCGUGAAUUACAAUCGAAUAUUUAUAGAGAAGUAUCAAAGGUCUUCUUUUAUCAGGAUUUAUUGGUGGCUACAAAUUUCGUUACAAAUCACAUCUAAACAAAAGAGUGACAAAUUGUAAACAAAAUUACCUGUUUGACCCAUGUAGUCAGUGACAACUAAGCUUUGGAAAAAUUUCAAGUAAUGAAGAUUUAGGUGCUGUUUGUUUUUUUUGAAGAAAAAAUUCAUAAAAUCUGCGAACCACCUCUGCAACCCUCUACAGUAGAAAAGGUGGACCAAAUGGCUGCAGAAUGUAAUGAGAAACGUGUUUGUUUUUUUAACAUCUGCAUGAUGCUGCAGAUAUUAAAAAAUUAAAAUAAACUGAUUUUAUAAUCCGAAAAUAUGUUUUUUAAUACCAAAAAUUUAAUAAUGUAUAACAUUUCGCCAAGAAUUUAUGAUAUUUCAGCAAAAAAAUAAUGAUAUUUUAACAGAAAAUAAAGAUAUUUUAGCAUAAAAUAAUGAUAUUUCAUCAAUAAAUUAUUAUUAUUCAAUAUAAAAAAAGAAAAAAAAUUCAACAAGAAUAAACAAAAAAACAAAAAUAUGUGAAAUAUGUUUUCAGCAAUAUAUAAUCAAUAUUUUAGAAAGAAAAAAAAAGAAUAAGAGGUUGGAAGAGGUUGGAAGAGGCAAAACAAUUGAUGCGCCAAGAAGAACACGCGCAAAUGUUUUUUAAUCUGAAGACUUUAGAAAAACAAAGAGUUGUGAGAUGAAAAGUGUUGUGCGUGUGCUGCGCCGCACAACAAUAAUAGGUCUAAAGAGGUUUUUUCCAUAAAACAAACAACACCUUAAAAGGACACUCACACGGAAAUCAUAUUCCACAAAACAAAAUGAUACCUGGAUCGUGUUGGGUAACAAAAGUCUUGGGUUUCGAACAUUUGGUCAAGAUCACUCGAAAUGAAAGAAUAUGAUUUGGAGUAUCGAAAUUACGUACGGAAACAAAUGUUUCAUGAAAAUAUGGAACAAAUUUCCCCAUCAAUUCCUUAAAUGGUUCGGUAUUUUGGGUUUCACUUUCAUCACAGUCUCAUGAAUCCAGAUCAUAAACACAGAUGUUUGGUAUGUUUAGAUCCUGAUUGGUUUAUACCAGAGAUCUCUUGUACAUAUUUCAUUGUGUGUGUAUGUGUAAGAAUCGUAGGAUGAAAAAGAUUGGUUUAAGAUUCGAAAGUACCUAUUGGACCAAGCAGGCAACUCUUAACUCAUGUGAGAAAAGUAAGGUAGAUCAGAGACUAAUGUGAAUACAACCUAAUUGGGUAGGUAUCCUUGUGAUGAGAAAACCAUUAAGGCUUUUGAAAACACAUUGAUUCAUGGAGGCUUAGGUCAAUAUGCUGCAGUAUGCUUCUAGGGACAUCCUAACUAGGAUAAAGUUUCGAAAGUAUACCUUUCCCUCAAGCAGCAAGCAUGAACCAAUCAAAAAUCUUCGCAAAAUUUUGCACAUUACAAUAUUAACAAAACAAAAAUAUUUUUGGAUUUUUAAGUUUUGAAAGAAAAUAAUAAAAAUAAGAAAAUCUUUUUGAUAUUUUUGAAUUUUGAAAGAUAAAAACAAAAAUGAAAAUCUUUUUGUUAUUUUUGAUUUUGUAAAAAGAAAGAGAAAAAACAAAUCUCAUUGUACCUGACUAGCAAAAAAUUGAAAAUAGCAAAAGUAACAAAGAUGUUAGCAAACCAAUUUUCCAUGAUGUCGAAAGCGAAACAUGUUGUAGCGUUGACUAUGAACAGUAACCAAUGAAUCAACAGUUUUCGACCAUUGUGCCUUGUCAUUCUAACGAAGAUUGUAGUGCAAUAGAAUUUGCAUCCGUCGGUCCCAAUCCAUUUAGAAUUCUUAUGAAAGAUUUUUCAUCUACGAGUUUUGUAAAGAUAUCAGCAAGCUGAUCAGUUGUCUUUACAAAAUGAACUUCUAUGUUUCCAUCUUCAACGUGAUCUUUGAUAAAAUGAUAUCGAAGAACAAUGUGCUUGGUUUUUGAAUGUUGCACACGGUUAUGGCAGAUGCGAAUGGAACUUUGUGAAUCACAAUACAACAGAAUUUCUUCAUGUUGAUUGCAAAAUCAUGCAGUUGAUUUUGUAUCCAAAUGAUUUAAGAAGUGCAAGCUGCAGCAACAACAUAUUCAGCUUCUGUUCUGGAUAUCGAAACACAUGUUUGUUUCUUCGAUUGUCAGCUUACAAGCUUCCCAUCCAAUAAUUGACAUCUGCCAUUUGUGCUUUUGCGAUCAAGAUUACAACCUCCUAAGUCAGCAUCUGAGAAUGCUUGUAUGAAAAAGCCUGUCUUUGAAGGAUACCACAAUCCUAACGUUGUUGUUCCUUUGAGAUAGCGAAAGAUAUUCUUGAGUGCUAUUAAAUGAGGUUCCCACGAAUUCAAUUGGUACCUAGCACGAAUUCAAAAUCCUUGUGCACUGCAUAGGCUAAAAAUAUUCGUACUACCUCGAUUCUUGUGGCAGGGGCAAAGGUUUUUUCAUAAUCGAUACCUUCUUGUUGUGAAUAACCUUUAACUACAAGCCCAGCCUUAUUUCUCACGAUGUAACCUUCUUUAUCCAUUUUUUUAUUUUUAAAAAUCCAUUUAAGACCAAUUAUCGAAGUAUCUUGUGGUUUAGGAACAAGUCUCCACACUUUGUUUCUUUCGAACUCAUCCAGUUUAGAUUGCAUAGCAACAAUGCAAUCAGCAUCAUCCAUAGCAAUCUUAACAGACUUCGGUUCAAUUUUUGAUAUAAAAACAUUGAACAUACAAAAUUCUUGGUGAGUAUGUAGUACCUCAUUUUUCGCACGAAUUUGAGCCCUCGUUAAUACUCCAUCUUGUGGAUCACCAAGAAUUUGAUCGUGUGGAUGAUUUCGAGUCCAUCUAUCCAUUAGAGGAUAUGCAGGAUCAAAAUCCAACGGAGCAUCUUCAAAUUCUUCAUCAUGGUCCAUGUCAUAUCAUGCAAUCGACACAUUGUCAAUCAUAUCUUGAAAAACAUCAUUUGAAGAAAUUGGUAUUGAGUCAUUUUGCUCCCCCUCAACAAAAUAAUCAUUUAUAUGAUGCUCCCCCUCAACAUUUGCACUUUCUUGAUUUUGGACGUUGUCAAAUGUUUGCUCCCCUCAACAUCAUCAGUCGAACUCAAGUGCUCCCCCUCCACUCGAGCACUAGGUUGAAUUGUUACACCAUCGACAUGUAUAGGAGAAUUUGUUGUUGAGUUCAAAUCAGCAAUUGGUUGUAAUAUUGUCGAAUCCUCAUUGAGUUUCGAUGCUUCAGGAAUUCGUUUAUCCUCAGCAUUAAUUUUUGCAUCAAUAGCCCUAUCAGGAGUAUGAAAAAUUAAAUCAUAAUCAAAAUCUAACGAAUUAAUACAUUCAAAUUCAUCAUUUGAUUUAUUAAUAAUUGGUUUUUGUUCAAAACAUUUUUCGAUGCUUUGACAUAGUGAUCAUCGAAUGUAAGAUUAAAUGUCUCUUCGAUCUUCCUUGUUCAGUUGUUAAGGACCCUAUAUGCCACAGAAUUAUGAAAUUAGCCUAAGAAUAUUCCUUCAUCAGCCUUAGAGUGAAAUUUUGAAAGAUUAUCCUUAAGAUUCAUAAUGAAGCACCUGCAACCAAAAACAUGGAAAAUUUUAACAUUUGGUUUCCUGUUGUUAACGAUUUCAUAAGGGGUAAUAUCAAAUCUUCUAAGAAUAAAAGACCGAUUUUGGGUAAAACAAGUGGUGGAAAUAGCUUCAGCCCAAAGAUAUUAUGGAAGAUUCGCAUAAGUCAACAUCGUUCUUGCUGCUUCACAAAAUGAUCGAAUUCUCCUUUCGACAACACUAUUUUGUUGAGGUGUGUAAGGAGACGAGAAACUGUGUGUAAUAUCUUUGUCAACCAAAAACGAAUCAAGAAUCUUGUUUUUGAAUUUUGAUCCAUUAUCAAUCUUGAUCUUACAAGCCUUUUUCUUUAGACUUAACUCGAUGUGUUUGAUAAAAUCAAUCAUCACUUGAGCUGUUUCUAAUUUUAAACAAAGAAAAUAUACCCAAGUAAACCUAGAAAAAUCAUCAACUAUAACCAAAAUGUACCUCUUUUUGUUGAGUGUUUCAACUGUCGAAUGUCCACAAAGGUCAAUAUGAAGAAGUUCCAAAGGUUCGAUGAUCUUCGAAUCAAUCACUAUUGGAUGUCCUUGUCGAUGUUGUUUUCCUUGUUCGCAAGCUGCAAAUAAAGUAUCAUUAUCAAAUUUUAAAACUGGAAAACCUCGAACAAGAUCUUUUACCACAAAUUUGUUCAAAUUCUUAAAAUUCAAAUGAGACAAUCUUCGAUGCCACAACUAGCUAAUGUCAGAGGAAGCCUUCAAAAGUAGACAAACUAAAGGAGCACCAACAAUGGAUUUGAUGUCAAGUGUAAACAUAUCGUCUUUUCGCUUUGAUUUAAGAAGAAAUUUUUUUGUUUCUUUGUUAGAUAUGACACUCCCUUCUUCUUCAAAAACAACUUGAUUGCCAGUACCCACAACAAGUUGCGAAACACUGAUCAAAUUGUGUUGAAGACCUUCGACAUAAGCAACUCUGUUGACUGUAAACUUCCCAUUGGCCAAAAUGACUAAAAAGAAAAAGUCUGAAUGUGUUAAGCCGAUGUCACAAAAUCAAUCUUUUGUUGAAAAUAAAAAGUCUUCAAAACACACACAAGUUCAAAAAGAUUUUCUAAAAACAAAGAACAAGUUUCGAAAUCAAAACAAACAUCUCAUGUUCAAAACUCAUAUCAUGAUGGUUAUGUGAAAAUCAUAAAACAAAGAAUUUUGUUCAAAACUCACAACAUCAAAGUUUUUCACAAAAUAAUUCUCAAAGAAAUGGCUUUCAAUCAAAUGAGAAAAAGAAUUAUCAUUGAGUUCCACAUCAAAAACAAUUUUCGAACCCACAAACAGUUUUUCCAAAACAUAAAAUUGGGUAUCAAAAUAGAUUUCAAUCUCGUUACAAAGCUGCAGUUCCAACGAGACUGCCAACAAGUAACUAUCAAAAGUUGAACGUCCAAAGGAGAAGAAAUGAACCUUUCAAACCAAAACAACCACAGUUUCCAAAUCCACCUUCGAAACAAAGAGUUAACACCUCAUUUGUUAAGGGAAAAACAGAUGUAAAGAAUAUAAAUCAUUGGUUGGAAGGAAAGGGAAAACAUUUCCAAUCAAGAAAAUUCUCUCAAUAACAGAUUAAGGAAGCAUAUAAGAAAUAUCUAAAUGAAUCAUCAAGUGAAAGUUCUUCAACAAAAUAUUCGAAUCCUUCUGUUCAACAAUGGAGAGCAAUUUCGAAAGAAAAAGUCAGUGAGACUCAAACUAAGAAGUGUAAGGAGAAAGUUAAUGUUAACUUUAAACCUUCAAAUGAUUACAUUUCGAUACCCUUAAAUAAUGAAGUAGACUUAACUGAUAAUGUCAAGUCAAAAGUUUAAAAUUAGAUAAUAGGAUCUGCAUUACAUCAAACAUUUUGUUCUAAUCAUCAAGGACCCAAACAACCUUGGGGACCUAAAAUUUCUACUGAUUACAGGUUUUGUGUGACGGGAAAUAUGAUGAUAAAUGGUAUAUCGAUAGUGGUUGCUCUCGUCACAUGACUGGGAAGAAGGAAAACUUGAGAGAUUAUCAAAGUCUUGAAAAUGCUGGUGUAGUAAAGUUCGGCAAUAAUAACAAGUGGUAUCAGAGCCAAUUGCGAGGGUUCGAUUCUCACAGGGAGCAAUUUCUGAGGAGGGAUUGUUGGGGGUCAGAAAUGGCAUCAACCAAGUCCUCGCACGAUGGCCUGGAGUGCCGCAAUCGAAUGCUUGUUCCUAGAUGGCUGAAUGCGCUAUAUGGGUAAGGUUGCGCCCUUUCUAACACCAAUUGGUUUUAAAUCAACCGAUAGCGCUGAUGCUCAACACUCUAUUAAAUGUCACUUUGAUGCUCGACUUUGACUUUAUAAAAUAUCACUUUUAUCUCCUCGAUUUUUUAAACCUUAGUGUUAACCUCAUCCACUAACAGUGGUAUCAACCUUAUAUAUUUAUUACCAAUAAAUAUAACGUUGUCUAACUUUUAUCAAUACAAUUAUCAAAAUUCGAUUUACAAAACAUAUUAGCGUCCUUGUAAUACGGGCAAAAUAGUAGUUAUUUUUAAAUGUUAGAAUGAUUUGAAUCAAUACUUGUGUAUUUUAUUAUUAUUAUUAUAAUUAUUAUUGCAGCUAUUAAAAACAACUUGGGUAUCUUUUUUAAUUUAUUUAAAUAAUAACAAAAUAAAUAAUUAAUUUGUUUAUGUUAUUUGUUUGAUUUUGUUCCUUAAGUACAAUGUACUUCAAACGUUCCUUUUGUCCCUGAAUAAUUUUUUUUUUCAAUGUAGGUUAUGCUUCCUUGGUGAAUGUUGAAAUCUAAAAAAUUUGGAAUUAGAUUUUUGGGAUAUAGAUUAUUGGAGGCAAAUAGCUUAAAAGAAAUUUUAUAAAUAAUUUGUAAAAAAUGUUAUUUAGGGAUAAAAGAUAGAAGUAGUUGGAGAUGACAUAAACUUUGUUAAUUUGGAAAUUUUACAUAGACCCCCUUAUACUUUUGAAUUAUUUCCCAUAUACAACAAAGUUUCGGUGGCCCAUGUGAAAAUAUAUUCCAGCUGUAUAAAGCCGUUACAUGGUCCCACAAAAAACAACACGUAUAACGUGUAAUUAUUGUCAUUGUGGGACCCACACGUACGAACACAGCGAACAUUGUUUACCUUAACGGCUACUUAUACUCGCGUCUCCGGCUCUUUACUCUUCAUCCCUUCCCUCACUCUCUCUCUCAAACACACACAAACAGUCUCACUUUCUCUCUCUAGAAACAAACAUGGAAAUGAAGAACGUCGUCGUUCUAGCAUUCAUCUGCGCCAUUUUCGCCGCCGUCGGAGGUCAAGCCCCAGCUGCUUCCCCAACGAUUGCGCCUCCUACGACUGUCGUAACGCCUACUGCUUCACCAACCGUAGCACCGCCGGCGAAGUCUCCAGUUUCUGCUCCUCCGAUGGUUUCUGUUCCUACACCGGUUAGUUCACCACCUGCUGCGGUGCCAGUGAGUUCUCCACCUGCUGCGGUGCCGGUGAGUUCUCCUCCAACGAUUGAAUCUCCACCGGUUCCUGAACCAGUGAGCUCUCCUGCACCAGAGAUUGCUUCUACACCUGAAGCUUCUGCUCCGGCACCCAGCAAGAGGAAGACGAAGAUGAAUGCUCCAUCGCCGUCGCCUACCGAGGCACUUUCUCCUGGACCGAGUGGCGACGACUCUCCCUCUCCUGCUCCUAAUUCAGCCGACGUCGCCGACGAGGUAAUUCCGAUGUCUUACUUUUAGCUAAACUUAACCACUUUAUGCUUUUAUUUUUUAUUUUAUAAUUUAUAAUUUUAUAAUUUUAAUUUUAUAUAAUUUGAUUUAUUAAUUGGUGUGAAAAUGGAAAUUUGCAGAGUGGAGCCGACAGAUUAAAGAU